rfam:Novosphingobium tardaugens NBRC 16725 DNA, contig: NT206.
UUUGCGGACCGGGCCCCUCUGGCGCGGCAUGCUGGCCCAAAUGGGCAGCCUGUCACGUGAUGUCGGACCGCAUCG